rnacentral:rRNA from 1 species
AUGGCUGCGGCCAUGGCGGAAACCCUAGCGCUGGCCCCGGUGGAGGACCCCGAGGCGCCCCUCGACGCGGCCGCAAUCCGAAGCCGGUUCAAGCAGCUCUCCACGCUGUGGGGAGGGGACGAGGAGGAGCCGGUGGAUGCUGCGGCGGCGGAGGAUGGGCUGCGCUCCGGGUGCGAGGCGGAUAUGCAGGCGGAGGAUGCGUGGGACUCCAGCGCUGCUGAGCUAGAGAGUCGCUGUUUGGACUUGUACAUUGAGUGGUUGAGAAAGGAGGUGAGCUUGACAGAGGAGGAGAACUGCAAGUUAUCUGCCGAGAUUAGUGUCAUUGGAGAGACAGUGUUCAAAGACAUGAUUCCACUGGAUGCUGAGAUUGAAUCACUGGAGUCUUCACUGAAUACACUUGGUUCAGAGGGUUUGAAACAUUCGGAAGCAAGUCCUAUCUCAACUGAUUCAGGCUUCAACCAAAUAGAUAUUGAGAAGGACUGCAAAUAUGAGGAACUGAAACUAGAUCAUCAAAUAGGAAAAAGUGAGAUGGACUUGAAGCUGCUACAAAUACAAAGUAUUUCAAUGCAAAGGGAUGAAGAAAUGUGGCAGCUUCAAUCUCUGGUUUCAGGACCAAAGGUCUUAGAGUGUAAAGACAACUGUCUCAGGGUGCUCCUGAAGGCACCUAUACUGACCUCGGAAUGUGUAAUUCUUGGACAAAAGUUGGAUUGUGUUGUUGAUUCUUCUGUUUCAGAUCAUGAGUUACUGAUAGAAGUUGAUGAAGGAAGCAUGGAACUGAAUAAAGUCCAGAUCUUUCCUGCUGAUGUUUGUGUAGAUAUACUGAUUGAGAAGCUCAAGUCCUCCAGAGAGGUCAUUUCCGCUCCAUCUUUGGGAUGGCUCAUUCGGCAAUGUCAACAACAGAUUGUAAUCAACACUCUAAGACGAUCGUUGGUGAAUGAUGCCAAUAAUUCCAGGCAUUCUUUUGAGUACUUUGACAAAGAUGAAACAAUCGUAGCUCAUUUGGUUGGUGCAAUUGAUGCCUUCUUCAAGAUAUCUGCAGACUGGCCACUGUCGUCCUAUGGUCUGAAGUUAAUCUCAAUCCGCAAUUCAGGGACUCAGCCAACGAAUAUAACUUUACAUUUGCUCUGCAAGACCAAGGAACUUGCCAAUGGCUUGGAGCUUGAGACUCGUCGGCAUCUGGUAAGAUUUGUAGACGCCGUUGAGGAGAUUCUUGUUCGGGAGAUGCAGUCAGAGCUCCACUCCAGCAGGGUUUCUGCUUAG